ACGCACGUGUGCAUACCUGUGCGUGCACAACACGACGCUCCACCACCCCCACUCACACACCCACACCCUUUAUCUUCGCAGAGCACCUUUCCUUUCGUUGGCUUGCUGCUCUCCCCCUCCUUGCACCGUCAUCGCUGCAGCCUAUCGAGUGUGCUUCCGCCUUCCACUGUGUACCGCCCUGAAGAGUGGCCGUGGCGCUCAUUGCUACACGUAUUCAUUUCGAUAUCGAGCUGGCAGGGAGGUGGUGGCGCCCCCACCCCCAUACACAGGUGCACAGUAACACAUCUAUAUAUAUACACACAGCCGUCGCCCUCCCGCGUUCCAGCGUGUGCGUGUGCUCAGCCGCAUUAGCCGACCUCUGCCCUUCGGUCGGCAUAUUUCUUGCCUUCGCUCUUCGUUCUUUCUUGUCCCGUGUGUCGUCUGUGUCCCCCUCUAACCGCCCUUACACGCCAGAUGCGCAUCCAGGUCCGAGGCACCGCCCCGUACAGCAGCGACGAUGUCGUCGUCUUGGAAAACCUCACGGUGGCGGAGCUACGCAACAGCCUCAUGGCCAGGUUUAACAUCGACGCCGCGACGCACAGCAUCCGCCUGCUAUACCGCGGACGACUGAUGCAGGACGCCAACUCGGUGGCCAGCUACGGUGUGGAGGAGGGCAGCACCGUGCACAUUGUGGUGCAGCCCCGUCAGCCGGAGGGCGGCAACAACGGAGGCGGUGAAGAGCACAGCGCUGGCCCGAACCAACAACAUCAGUUCACGAUGCCUCAGUUCUCCUUUGGUACGGCGGGCAACAGCGGCUACAACUACGUGUCAGGGGGCGGCUUCUCUUGGCAGCCCUUCGCCUCUACGAUCGCCAGCUCCAUCUCCACUGCCUUUCAGCAGCAUCAGCAGACGGCGCCGCAGGGGGCGUCGAUGCCAUCGGCAACCCCUCCAGCAUCGGACAGCAGUCCGCACGUGACCUUCUCUUAUGAGAUGGGCUCGAACGUGCCGAGGAGCGACGGCACGGCUGCCGCUGGCGCUGCCGCUGGUAGUGGUAUUGAUGCAGCGGCAGCGGCAGCGGCGGCCGCCAACCCUGCGGUGGCCGCCACCGUGAACGCCUUUACUUCGCAGCUGCCGUGGCUGAUCUCGUCCGUCCUUUCCAACUCGCUGAACGGCAAUGCGGGUGCUCAACAGUCGCAGCAGCAGCAGCAGCAGCAGCCAUCCACCGCAGGUGCUACGCCAGCGGAAACGGCGGGUGGGACGGCGGCACCAGCAGGCUCAGCCUCUGGUAGCACAAGUGCAGGUGCCGCGGCGAACGCCGCAGCGCCAGGGCAACGUGAGGCCUCCACACCUUCCCCCGCUGCACCGCAGCCACCAGCUGCUCCUGCACCUGCCGCUGCUGCCGGUGGUGUUGCCCCGCAGCCCACUUUCCACUUCACCACGGCUGCCUCUCCACCACGCAUGGAUGUGUUUGUGGGCAACGCAGCGCCGUCGAUGUCGCCCCUGCAGUACCCGCAGCAGCAAUCAUCGGUUGUGCACAUCCAUGUGCACUGCACCCCAGAGGAGCUGGACGCCAUGCCGGAGCGUCUGCGGCGACUCUCUACGCAGAUCCCAGUGGGGCAUGUGACGCUGCAGGCGGACACCACAGAUCGUAACAGCUAUCCCCAGCCCACGCUGCAGGAACAGCAGCAGCAGCAGCAACCGCGCGCCACGGCCGCCUUCCAGGCGAACAGCACCAAUGCCUCCUCUGCAAGCGACACACAGACGCCAUGGAUCAACGAAGCCAUGAGCACCGCGCUGGCAACGUUGGGAAUGCCGCAGCUGUUGCAACUGGCAGCGGGCAACUGCAGCGUCCUUGCGAGCCUGCGGCUGCCAUUGCAGGAGCAGGUGCAACGGCGGCUCAACGGAACGGACGAGUCGCCGGCUGCCGUGGUGCAUGUGGCCCAGAACGAGGCGAGGCAGCUCAGCGAGCGUAUCCUAAGCAUGUCGGCUGUGCAGAACCUGAUGACGCAGCAGACGGCAGCGGCCACGAGUGCCGGGAGGACCGUUGCGGAAGCGUCUCAGCGCGUGGGGAUGUUCCGGCAGGAGCUUCCGCGCUACCUCGAGCACUUCUACGUGUCUGUCAUGCAGCACCUCUCCCGCAGCUCGGCAAACGCGGCGGAGUGGAGUCGGGGCCUACGCAACAUCGUGGUGCGUUACGUUGGCAUGGUCCUCAGCCGCUCGGCACGGUGGUUCGAAGGCGGUAGCGGCGCCUUUCAACCCGCCAUGGCAAGCAUUAUGCAGACACUCCUGCAGAGCAGCGGCGUGCAACAGCAGUACCCCAUGCUGCAGGCUUUCUCCUCCAUGCUCAGCCCGAUGCUGCAGUCACUACUGGGUCAGUGGGAGCGGGAGUAUGACCAGAGCAUGCGGCGCAGCGACGACAGCUUGCAGUUCGAGCAGGACGCGUCACAGCAGCCGACCUCGCCGCUCCUGCCGCCUCAGGCGCCAGUCAAGGCCCCCGCCGCCUCCGCCUUCGAUCGCGCGGCAACGGCGCCGUCGCUGGUCGCGGAGUCGGUCAGUGACCUGCUGACGGCCGGCAACGCCGACACCCUCGACGGCGCCGCGCGCAUGGACGACGAUUUCGAGGAUCUCGCGAAGGAGCUGAUGGAGGACGCUGACAACGACGCGCCCCAGUCGGCAAAGAAGGCGGUCACGCCGAAGUCAUGGCCGUUGGAGACGCCAAGCAGCGACCUGUCGGCGGUAGCCUCUCAGGCCCGCCUGGCGUCCGCUGUGGAGGAAUGGGAGGAAGCCUGUGAUGUGCCGCACUCAGUCGCCGAGCGGGUGCGUGCCAUGGCGACGCGCUACACUGAGGCGCGUGUGACGCGGGUGUUGCCGAGCAACACCGCGGAGAGCGCGUCCACGCCGCAAGCGCCACCGCCAUCGCAUGCGGAAGGGCGACAGAAUUCGUCCACGCGCGGGCACAGUGACGACUGGGUGAUGUGGGAGGCAAACCCCUAUGGCAACUCCGCCUCACGCCGGUAGGCAUAGCAGCGCGCGAGAAGGGAAUGCGCGUGUGUGCGCCUUCUGCCAUAUUACAGCGAGAACGAUAUCUAAACUUUAAUGUCGGAUGGGAGGAGGAGGAGACAUCAACACAGAUGCAGCGUGACUUCUCUUCCUUGACGGGCGUCCACCCACCCCCGAAAAGACAUGCGCCCUCUUUUGCCUGGGUCCUGCUCGUGUUGCACGUGUGUCUGUGCUCCGUAUCUCCGAAUACGUUCCCCGGCUCACGUGUCUCCUCCUCCCUCCCCUACCCGCUCCCCUCCGUUCCACUGUCUCUCGCUCGGCGUGCGCAUGUGUGUACGCCGCGCGCGCGGCGCGGUGUCGCUCUGAUUCUAUUGCUGUCACUGUUACCUAUUUUUCUGAACGUCCUGUCAAGCCCGUCUGCACGUGUCGUCUACAUGUGCCUCUCAGUGGGUUGGGGGAGGGAGAGGGGGGGGCACUGACACCGGUGUGCACGCCUUCCAUCUACCUCUCGCCGUGCACGGACUCGCCCAUCCCACGCCCCGCCUUGGCCGCUUACUCUCCACCCAGCGUCCGUUGCAGCAGGCGUCGAAAAUCACUCGUGUGAUCUUCGUCACUUGUGCGUCCCCGCAUCGACCUCUCUCGCUCACGUUCUCUUUAUUCGUUCGCCAUCUGUGCACACGCAUCCGUCAUCGCGCACCCACGCACACGGUCGGCGGCGCGUGCAAGUAAUCGUGUCAAGCGGCUUUGGGGCACGAGAGAGGGAGGCACAGUGAUGCGCACGCGGGUCCCACUGUGCGCCGGCGAUACCUUUCCUGCCGCCGCAGGCCGCCCACCACCCCCUUGCACCUCCAUGUCCUCAGCCUCCAUCAUCGCUCUCUCUCUCUCUGUCUCCACCGCUCUUUGUGCUCAG
rnacentral:misc_RNA from 1 species